rnacentral:rRNA from 1 species
CGUAACCAACCGACCCCGGUCCCGUACCAACCCAACCUAGGGUAGGGUAGGGGUUUCGGUUACCACGAAGACAGGUUGCCUAACCGCAAGGAGGGCGCCUACCACGGUGAGAUUCAUGACUGGGGUG